rnacentral:misc_RNA from 1 species
GUAUUGAUUGCGGGUUAGCGCAUAAAUGAGGUCAUUCUACACUUUUUAAAAGGGGUGUUUGUGUGAAAACGCGAGCCUCCUCCGAGAUGAUCCCAAAGGGUGCCCACGCGGUGAUGCACAAAGGGGUAAGAUGGAUAUUUGUAUGUGAGAGGACUCGGGCGUGCACGACAAAAAAAAGCCAGCGACAACCCUCGUACCCCCAUUGUACGAUAAUGAUCCUUCCGCAGGUUCACCUACGGAAA